CAGUCGCCGCGGUAAUACGUAGGUGGCAAGCGUUGUCCGGAAUUAUUGGGCGUAAAGGGCUCGCAGGCGGUUUCUUAAGUCUGAUGUGAAAGCCCCCGGCUCAACCGGGGAGGGUCGUUGGAAACUGGGAAACUUGAGUGCAGAAGAGGAGAGUGGAAUUCCACGUGUGGCGGUGAAAUGCGUAGAGAUGUGGAGGAACACCAGUGGCGAAGGCGACUCUCUGGUCUGUAACUGACGCUGAGGAGCGAAAGCGUGGGGAGCGAACAGGAUUAGAUACCCCAGUAGUCCCUGUCUCUUAUAC
rnacentral:rRNA from 1 species